UUAAAUGAUGAUCCAAUAAUUCACGACGGUCAACAUAGCUCUAUGGGCAUUGAUGACAUCGCCUUUGACAAGGCUUCGAUCUGAUA
rnacentral:snoRNA from 1 species